AAAAAAAAAAAAAAAUGGAAAUGCAGUUUUAGUGACCACGGCCAAUAGCCAUUGAGGAAUGUUAAAGAGCGACUGAAUGCACCGAUUCUGUAUGGGUUUCUCUGUUGCUCAUUAAGAAAAACAAGAUUUCCGUCUUUGGGGGUGUGGUUCGAUGUGGCAGUUACUGAUGUUUGUCCCCCAUGAGACACAAUAGGAACAAAGCCAGUAUCACUUCCUCAAAAUAGUCCGAAUGAAUCAACAGUAAAUUUGGAAAGUAUUCAGACGCCUUGACUUUUUCCACAUUUUGUUACAGCCCUAUUCUAAAGUUGAUUCAAUAGUCGUUGUCGUCAUCAUCGUCGUCCCCUCAAAUCUACAGAAAAUACCCCAUAAUGACAAAACAAAAUGUAUUCAAAAUAAAACUGAAGUAGUCAGACACUUUACUCAGUUCUUUGUUGAAGCACCUUUGGCAGCGAUUACAGCCUCGAGUCUUCUUGGGUAGGACGCUACACGCUUGGCCCACCUGUAUUUGGGGAGUUUCUCCCAUUCUUCUCUGCAGAUCCUCUCAAGCUCUGUCAGGUUGGAUGGGGAGCGUCGCUGCACACUUAUUUUCAGGUCUCUCCAAAGAUGUUAGAUCGGGUUCAAGUACAGGCUCUGGCUAGACCAUUCAAGGACAUUCAGAGACUUGCCCCGAAGCCACUCCUGCGUCAUCUUGGCUGUGUGCUUAGGGUCGUGGUCCUGUUGGAAGGUGAACCUUUGCCCCAGUCUAAGGUCCUGAGCACUCUGGAAUAGGUCGUCAUCAAGGAUCUCUCUGUACUUUGCUCCGUUCAUCUUUCCCUCGGUCCCAACUAGUCUCCCAGCACCUGCCGCUGAAAACCAUCACCACAGCAUGAUGCUGCCACCAUCAUGCUUCACCGUAGGGAUCGUGCCAGGUUUCCUCCAGACGUGACGCUUGGCAUUCAGGCCAAAUAGUUUAAUCUUGGUUUCAUCAGACCAGAGAGUCUUGUUUCUCAUGGUCAGAGUCCUUUAGGUGCCUUUUGGCAAACUCCAAGCGGGCCGUCAUGUGCUUUUUACUGAGGAGUGGCUUCCGUCUGGCCACUCUACCAGAAAGGCCUGAUUGGUGGAGUGCUACAGAGAUGGUUGUGCUACACAAAGGUUGUCCCAUCUCCACAGAGGAAUUCUGGAGCUCAGAGUGACCAUUGGGUUCUUGGUCACAUCCCUGAUCAAGGCCCUUUUCCCCCGAUUGCUCAGUUUGGCUGGGCGGACAGCUCUUGGAAGAGUCAUUUAAUAAUGAUGGAGGCCACUGUUCUUGGAAAACUUCAAUGCUGCAGACGUUUUUUUGGUACCCUUCCCCAGAAUUGUGAGUCGACACAAUCCUGUCUCUGAGCUCUACGAACAAUUCCUUUGACCUCAUGGCUUGGUUUUUGCUCUGACAUGUACUGUUAACUGUGGGAUCAUAGACCGGUGUGUGCCUUUCCAAGUCAUGUCCAAUCAAUUGAAUUUACCACAGGUGAACUCCAAUCAAGUUAUAGAAACAUCUCAUGGACGAUCAAAAAAUCAGGAUGCAACUGAGCUCAAUUUCAAGUCUCAUAGCAAAGGGUCUGAAUGCUUAUGUAAAUAAGGUAUUUCAGUUUAGCAUUUUUUAUAAAAAUGUCUAAAAACCUGUUUUUGCUUUGUCAUUUUGGGGCAUUGAUGAGGGAAAAAAUAAUAAUAUUCAAUUUUAGGAAUGGUAACGGGAAAUAGGCUAUACGGUCCCGGUAACGGGAAUAAGGCUGUACGGUCCCGAUAACGGGAAUAAGGCUGUACGGUCCCGAUAACGGGAAUAAGGCUGUAAGGUCCCGGUAACGGGAAUAAGGCUGUAAGGUCCCGGUAACGGGAAUAAGGCUGUACGGUCCCGGUAACGGGAAUAAGGCUGUAAGGUCCCGGUAACGGGAAUAAGGCUGUAAGGUCCCGGUAACGGGAAUAAGGCUGUAAGAUCCCGGUAACGGGAAUAAGGCUGUAAGGUCCCGGUAACGGGAAUAAGGCUGUAAGGUCCUGGUAACGGGAAUAAGGCUGUAAGGUCCUGGUAACGGGAAUAAGGCUGUAAGGUCCUGGUAACGGGAAUAAGGCUGUAAGGUCCUGGUAACGGGAAUAAGGCUGUAAGGUCCUGGUAACGGGAAUAAGGCUGUAAGGUCCUGGUAACGGGAAUAAGGCUGUAAGGUCCUGGUAACGGGAAUAAGGCUGUAAGGUCCUGGUAACGGGAAUAAGGCUGUAAUGUAACAAAAUGCACUGUAAGACAACUCAAGAAAUCUGUAAUUAACUGACAUUAUUGCAUAGGUUUUGGUCGGGCAAUUUAAAUCUACUUAAGGUGUUUGGUGCAGUAUUUCUCAAGUAAAAAAAUGCGAAGUGUUGUCUUAUGUAAACAAAGUACAAUACGCUAUGCUGCUGGGUAGUCUGUCUCACCUUGUGUUUCUGACCAAUAUUGAUUCCCAUAAGCUGUUUUCUAUCAGAUAGGUUGUUUAUUGCCUUGAGUUGUGCUUUAAUGGAUUUCUUGAAAGAAAUCCCUGGCAUUCUUGAACCUAUCAGGGUGACAGUGUGACACUAGUGAG